rnacentral:rRNA from 1 species
GAUGAACGCUAGCUACAGGCUUAACACAUGCAAGUCGAGGGGCAGCACAGAGAUAGCUUGCUAUCUUGGGUGGCGACCGGCGCACGGGUGAGUAACGCGUAUCCAACCUGCCCAUUACCUCUGGGAUAGCCUUGCGAAAGUAAGAUUAAUACCGGAUGUUGUUAAAAACCCGCAUGAGUUUUUAACCAAAGAUUUAUUGGUAAUGGAUGGGGAUGCGUGACAUUAGGUAGUAGGUGAGGUAACGGCUCACCUAGCCGACGAUGUCUAGGGGUUCUGAGAGGAAGGUCCCCCACACUGGAACUGAGACACGGUCCAGACUCCUACGGGAGGCAGCAGUGAGGAAUAUUGGUCAAUGGUCGAGAGACUGAACCAGCCAUGCCGCGUGAAGGAGACGGGCCCCUAUGGGUCUUAAACUCUUUGUAAGGGAGCAAUAAGUCUACGUGUAGGAUGAUGAGAGUACCUUACGAAUAAGCAUCGGCUAACUCCGUGCCAGC